rnacentral:rRNA from 1 species
UACGUAGGGCGCGAGCGUUGUCCGGAAUUAUUGGGCGUAAAGAGCUCGUAGGCGGUUUGUUGCGUCUAUCGUGAAAACCUGCAGCUUAACUGUGGGCUUGCGGUGGAUACGGGCAGACUUGAGUUCGGUAGGGGAGACUGGAAUUCCUGGUGUGGCGGUGAAAUGCGCAGAUAUCAGGAGGAACACCGGUGGCGAAGGCGGGUCUCUGGGCCGAUACUGACGCUGAGGAGCGAAAGCGUGGGGAGCGAACAGG